GGCACUGCCCGGUAGCUAAAUGCGGAAGAGAUAAGUGCUGAAAGCAUCUAAGCACGAAACUUGCCCCGAGAUGAGUUCUCCCUGAGACUUUAAGUCUCCUGAAGGAACGUUGAAGACGACGACGUUGAUAGGCCGGGUGUGUAAGCGCAGCGAUGCGUUGAGCUAACCGGUACUAAUGAACUCGAGCAGC
rnacentral:rRNA from 1 species